UCAGAUUUGGGUGUUCAUUCCCUUCUCGGCGAGCAAAGCGUCGGGGAGUCUCGCCGUCGUGAUAUUUUGACGUGUUGACGCUUUGAGAAGUGCGUGUUUGUGGAUCGUCUACGUAGCAUAACACGAGCCCCGUGCAGAGCUCCCCGACGUUAACGAGGCUUUACAGACUUUGAAAGUGAAUUGAAGGAAGCAAAAACACAAACUUUAAAAAAAUGGAGUUGGAAAUCACGCAAAGAACAGUCUCCCACAAGGUGACCAAGAUCACCACGAAGGAGGAAUACUACCAGACAAAGAAGCCUCAUGAAAUGGCGAGCACCAAGCUCUUCGGCAAGGACCUGAGUCAGUAUGAGGAACUUGACAUUGAUGACAUCCUGGACCAGCUUUCCCCGGAGGAGCUGGAGAUGCUGGCCGGGGAGGUGGACCCUGAUGACUCCUUGAUCCCUCCAAGUGAACGCAACAGCUACAAGUGUGAGAAGGGACCCACAGGACCUCUAGAUCGCAAGAAGCUAAUUGACCACAUCAAUGAACAGGCCCUCAAUGAACCAGAUAGGCCAGACCUCGUGCCUUAUGUUGCCGGCACUGUCAGAGGGAAGAAGUGGGUUGCCCCGCCGCCCCCGGAGCCCCAGGAUGACGAGGAUGCCAUUGCCCAGGAGGUGGAGGUGGAUCUUGAUGAAGAGUUCUCCUCCGUCCUCAACACUGCCACAGAGGAUGAGAUUGUGGACUUGGCAGCUAUCCUGGGCUUCCACUCCAUGAUGAACCAGGAACAGUACCACGCGUCUCUGCUCAACAAGGGCCGACCGCAGGGUGUUGGCUGGGGAGGCAUUACAAAAGCCACUAAGUUCAAGCCUCUCCCUGCUGAGCCUCCCAAUGACACAGAUAUAGAGGACAGCAUUAAGAAGCUUACUGACGAUGACUCCAACUGCAAGGAUCUAAACUUCAAUAACAUUAGGAACAUUUCUGAUGAGCAGUUUAAGCGUCUCUUUGAGUCUCUGGAGAACAACACCAAGCUGGAAAGUCUAAGUAUGGCAAACGUGGGCCUCUCAGACAGACACCUGGACCCUCUCACCAACGCUCUCUCUCAAAACGCCUCUCUCAGGACGCUAAAUUUGGAGACAAACAGCAUCAGUCCCGCUGGCAUCGUGCGCAUCAUGGAGUCCAUCUCAAAAACACACGUUGUGGAAGAGAUCCGUCUUGCAAACCAGAGGUCAAGUGUGCUGGGCAACAAGAUCGAGAUGCAACUCACAGAAAUUAUUGAGCAGAAUCCAUCAAUCUUGCGCGUCGGGAUUCACUUUGAGUUCAACGACGCUCGCAACCGCGUCUCCAAACAUCUGCAGAAAAACCUUGACACCUUCCGCAUAGGUGGAAAACCACGAAAACAAAAUAGGGCCAUGGCUCUUCUCAAAAAGGGCAUCGAUAUGGUUUGCAGAAGAGGAACUAAAGGCAAAUAAGAAUCUAUUCUACAACACUAAUGGACGAGAUCUUUAGGAUCAAGGGGUAGUAUUUUCAAGUUCGUGAGCUGCGUAUGGGUCAUAGAGUCAAGAGCUGUACUGUCGGCUUCCCACUCCUUCCUUCCUUCAUGCGUGUCCCUAGAGACCACGAUGAUGACGAGUACUAAGCCGUGGCCAGGAUGUCUGUUGCAUGAUGCCAUCGCAUUCUGCAAAGUUCGUUAUUACUGUUCAAUACUUAACUAGCAUCUCUAAUUUUUUUAUUACACAAAGUUUGAUUGUUUCCUUUGUUGUUCCUGGUUUAGAUUUUAAUUGACACAUCACAAUCCUUGACUCAAGCUUGGAAAUGGGUACAAUGGGUAUGGGCGUCAACACUCCCAUCCAUUGGCUCUUCACUCGACACGAUUCUUAAGUCCUAUGUACUAGUUUAAUCUGUAAUUAAUUUUUAAUUAAACUUUUUUAUACAUGCUAGAAGAGGUUGUAAAAAUUAUCACUUUUAUGUCAUGAGCACUAGUGGGCCAAGAUGCCACUGCGAUGGUAGCCUGCAGCCCCGGCCACUGCAGGGGUGGGCAAGUGUGUGGGUGUCUCCCUCCCUCCCCCCACACACACACACACACACACACACACACACACACACACACACACACACACACACACACACACACACACACACACACACACACCUGCCACUGAGCCGGAAGCUGACCCAGUCACCAAAGACUGAUAGGGUUUGUGAGCCACGCUGGGUUGUAUCAUCUUCCACGCUGGGAAGUUACUUGUAGCACGAUAGGGUUUUUUUUUAUUUAGCUUAAUUUAUUCCUGUUUGAGCAUAGUUUGUUUGCUCAAGUGAAUGAAAGUUGUGGUAGUGAAAGGUUUCAGAAGAUUGGCCACAAAGUAUCUAUAGGUAUGCUAUGUGGUGAAUAAACACCCAACAUUACAUUAUUCAACACCUGAGUAUUUCAAUGCCUGAGAGAGAGAAAGGUCCAUUUAUGAAUAUGUUAAUUGUUUAGUUUGUUAGACUCUUGAAUGAAAGACAACGUACUGUUAUACUACAACACUGACAUUUGGGACCUCGCAGCACGUCACUAGAUGGAGGAGGCGGCUUGUAUUAUGUCACGUCAGAACAAAGCUGAAACAUAAGUGGGAAUCUCACCUACACAUGUAUGCAAUGACAACACUUACUCUUUAAAGAUUAAAUGUUAAAUCACCUAAGACACACACACAGCUCAAACCUGAAUGAAUUAAUCUUUUUCAAUCUCACCAAAUUGUGUCAAAGUUGUGAAAUACUCCUUGAAGCACUGCCAGCAAUGCCAGUAAGGUGCGGCCCAUGGGGCGCCCCGCCGCCCACACAGCCGAGACCACAUUGCAUAAUAAGGGACUUGCACAAUCCAGAAAGUCACAGUGUGGCAGUACUACUUGUCCUCUCACAAGAAAAGCCCAAUUCUGACUGAAAUAAGGUAAUCUAAAGGUAACAAUUAUAAAACCAAGUGUCAUUAGGUCAGCAGGGAACUGCUGUGCUACAGGAUUAAGUGUGCUUAAUCUCUGUUGCCUGUGACAGAAUCUUUGUUCAUUGUUAAAUACACUAAAGACUUCAUGCAAGUGAUUAUUACUACUAUUACCAUUAAAGGAAAGAGAGAGAGAGAGAGAGAGAGAGAGAGAGAGUCAAGGAGCUGCAUCUGCUGUGAGUCACACAGGUUCUGUCACAGGCAAUUUUUCUAACACAUUCUGUGAUAGGGAAUGUAGUACUCCUAUAUGGUAAUUUUUUAUGCUACUGUGCUCAUUAUGAAUGAGUUUUGUAACAAAGUAUGUAUCAUGUUUAUCACGAGCAUCAUAGAAAAGACUGUUUAGUAGCAGUAUGUACAAAUAUUUAGUCCUUGUCUUUUAUUAUGCAUUUCUCACAGCUUGGCUUUUAAUGGAAAUUUUAGACUUUUCAAAUGAUCUAGGAUUCAAAUGUUACACUUAAGGAUUUACUGGACAUCUAUGGCAAGGGAACUUUGAUCAUUGUGUAUCAUGCAGCUGCUUGAGUUGGUUCCUAGUGAUAAGGAGACUAAAUUGUCAAACCCAACUCAUUGAAGAUUCCUAUGAUGUUUAUAUGACAGAAAUGUACAUAGGUAUUCAGUAAAGUUUUCUUUCCAUAGAAUAUAUGCAUCUCUUUCCCAA
rnacentral:misc_RNA from 1 species